GAGUUUGAUCAUGGCUCAGGACGAACGCUGGCGGUAUGCCUAACACAUGCAAGUCGAACGAGAUUCUUUUUUUGUUUACAAAGAAAGAAUUGCAGUGGCGGACGGGUGAGGAACACGUAAGAACUUACCUUUUGGCGGGGGAUAACAACGGGAAACUGUUGCUAAUACCCUAUAACGCUGAGGAGCGAAAGGGAAACUGCCAAAAGAGAGGCUUGCGUCUGAUUAGCUAGUUGGAGGAGGUAACUGCUCCCCAAGGCGACGAUCAGUAGCUGGUCUGAGAGGAUGAUCAGCCACACUGGGACUGAGACACGGCCCAGACUCCUACGGGAGGCAGCAGUGGGGAAUUUUCCACAAUGGGCGAAAGCCUGAUGGAGCAAUACCGCGUGAAGGAUGAAGGAUCGUGGUCCGUAAACUUCUUUUCUUAACGAAGAAAUUCUGACGGUAGUUAAGGAAUAAGCACCGGCUAACUCCGUGCCAGCAGCCGCGGUAAUACGGAAGAU
rnacentral:rRNA from 1 species